GACCAUCCACACCCUCUGGAAUGGAGGCCUUAUUUAGCUCUUCAGAGGACUCGGCUAGGCGCUCCCACCCCAGCCUGGCCCUGCUGCCUGCAGUCUCCACCAGAGGAAGCAGGACACCCAUGCACUGUUAGAAGUGAGAACACUGGCCGCCCACUCCUUGAAUAGUUCCCUCAGAUUUUUAUAACUUUCACAGGCUCUGUGGAGAUGCCAAAGUCCUCCAGCCCAGCCACAAAAAGUGAAAACUCUUCUUGGAAUGCAGAAGUGCAGCUGCAGGACCCUGAAUUACAGUUGGCCCCUGAAGUGCAUGCCUGCGUUCGCAGAACCAAAUCUCAGAGCACACAGAGGUCUGCAGCCAACUCUGGCCUCUCCCCCAGGACUGGGAUUUCUUCUGAUCUGGGGGCCUGUGAGAAGCAGAAGGGCACAGUUACAGGUGAGAGUCAAGUGUCCGGGAAGUGGGGGACCUCUGGGAAACGGACCAGUUAGGAGUGGAAACAGCAAGAGGAAGUCCCCCGGACUGCCCAGAACUUGUUCACCUGCACAAUGAUGGGCCCUCCAUGGCACCUUGGAGGUCAGGCUCCCUCCGGGCAAAGAAAAAGUGCUGUGCCCCGACAGGGUCCCCAGGACACCCAACUAACUUGAAGGCUCUGGCUCAGAAGCUGAUGGGAGUAUAUACUUGGCACCGCGGGACACAGAAUCUACAAGAGAGGCUACUCACGACCCUCGAUCCCCCUGAAUCACACGUCCCGCGGACCCCAGCGCCCCUGAGACGCACUCACAGGAUGGAGGUCUGCGGCGACACGGCGGGUACGGCCUCCAGCAACAGAUGCAUGCAGCGCACGGUGGUACGGAAGCACAGGCAGCGGCUUGGACAGCCUGCCCCUGGCUUCGAGGCGACCACCGCCAUAGCCCCCAAGGUGAAGCAGAGCACGAGCGCCUGUAGGCAGCGGCGCAUAGGGCACGCGGCCAUGGUAGAUGGCGCGGACAGACGCUGGGGACGCGUGGACCGCCGCGGAGGCCUCGGCGGGCGCGUCCACCGCCGGCUCCCAACUGAGUCCUCAGGUCCCGGGCCCACGUCCCAGCUGUGCGCGGGGGCCGGGGGGGGCGCCAGCUGUGCACAUGCGCGUGACUCCUCCCCUCUGGCCUCACCGAAGGCGGGGGCUGGGCAAGCACCAGGGCCUUGGUGUUGUAGGAUCCCCGCGACCCUUCCCGAGAGUGCAGCUGGGCCUCCCUGGACAGCACGACCAGAGCGCACAGACUCCACAGUGGGGGUCGCCUGGAAAUGCAGAGGUGAGGGCUGGAACCGGGUUUGGAUCUCUGAGUCUUCUUUUAAACCUGCCGUGCGGCAACUAAGACACCCCACAUCCCAAACCACACUUAUGGCCGUAUGCAAGGCUUUUGUUGCUGGUGAUGCCUUGUUUUGAACGCUUAAAGGUGUUGGGUGUUCUAGGAUGUGAGCUUUCACACUUUUUCUCAGUGCCCCACCCCUGCUCCCACACAAAAGCAUCUACCUCUGAUUUAAGUUUUCCUCAUUCCUAGUGGAGAAACCGAGGGCCAGCCCCGUGGCGCACAGCUUGUAGCUAGGCUGUGCUGCAGAAUUGGAAGUUCCCUGAGGGAGGCCUCCAACACUGGCUACCUGUGAGGAGUCCCUGCCCACCUGGUGCUUUCCCUGGUAGGAAAGACUGAGAACACCUGUGGCCACCUCAGCUUGCCUUUACACAGGCUGCAUAAAACAAGGGAAGUGCUGAGGUUAACAUGAGGGAGUGCUACACGAGAUCAAAUGCCUUAUACUCUUCUCCGAUUCUCCCUGGGGUUCCAGUCUCUCCAAUUCUUCAGGCCGGGAGGUCCAGGGUAGACAACACAGCCAUAGGAACGGAGUUCAUGGACUUCAGAGUUGGAAGUUGAGCUUGAUUUCCAACUUGACUGAACUGACCCCCUUAAGAGACCACUGUAAAAUUCCAUCUAAGGGAAAUAUCAGAAGAGUUACCUAAAAAGAGAAGACCCAUUAGGAACUAGAGUGAUACACAUGGGCUGGCAGUGUAAUAGCACAGAUGUGAAGAGGCCCAUCUACCCAAGUGUUCUCUCUGUGAUUUCUGGCUACUUGAAGGGAGCUGCCCAGCUCUGCCUGGUCCUUCUGGACAGACUGACAUCUCUGAAACUGAGCCAACACCGCUCUUUCUCCCUUAAGUUGUUUUGCCUCCGUGUUUUGUCACUUUGAUGGAAAACCGACACACCAGACAUGCCUUGACCUGCAGCAAACUACUCUGUUUCCACUGUUCCCAGGCAGAUAGUCUCUCUGAUGGGAGGAGUGUUUCUGGGAGUCCAGCAUCAGGGUGCUGCUGAGGGACGGAGUCACACUCAGGAGCCGUCACAAGGCUCCAGCUGCACUGCUGGCAGACUUUACCACCAAGGAACUGAAGGCCCGUUGGAGGAGGCUCGAGUUCCUAAUCACUGGGCCCUCUCCAUGGCUGGCACAUCUCCAACCAUCUGCAGACUGUAUUCCAGGGGGAGAACAGGAUUAAGGCCUUCCUGCUAAGCCUGAGCAUGCCAUCACUUUCCAUGCUCUCUUGAGUAGCUCAGGAGAGUGAGAAUAACUGAACCACAAAGCCUCCAGAGAGGCUGCCCACCCCGGGAGACCUUCACUCUGCCCUGAGCUCCUACAGAGCUAGAGUUAAGUUUCCAUGAGAGCAGAAUUUCCAGCCCUGUCACGUGCCCUCUAGAGGCUCCUGGAAGACUCACACCUCCAUACUGACCUCUGGGUGACUUUUCUGACUCUUGUAAGUCCUGAGUUCUGGGGUUACAGGCAUGCACCGCCACAUCUGGUUUAUGUAUUGCUGGAGAAGGAACCCAGGGCCAUUCCUAGCUUCCCAAGGCUAGCAGCUGUCAUCCAGCUCAUCUGAAACCUUCUCUUCCUGAAGACACCUCCGCUGCUCACCUGCUUGGGUCCUUCCAAAGCAGUGACAAUGGUCAGACCCUGGCUCCGGUGCUUCUGAACACACAGCCUUUGAUUGUUUCUAUCCUGAGUCUUCACUAAUUUCCACUCUGGAACCUCUCAAAUCACUUGGGAAAAUUACCCACCCAGUCCACUGAGGUUUGGAACCCCGAGUUUGGCUUGGGCCCAGGAUAGGAUUGGGAGCUGUCAAAGUGCAGAGUUUCCUUUGGGUGUUUGAGCAAUUGCUUUAAGUUUGUCCUUAAUGAAACCUGUUCUCCCAGACUGCCGCUGGCUAUUCUCCAUGCCAAGGUGGACCAAGGUCAGCAAGGCUGCCCUUACCCUUUGCUGACAGGUAGGUCCUCGCCUGUGUUUUAAGAUGUAUUUACUUAGAUUUCAGUAUUUGGGGUUGUGUCUCUGUCAGGUGUCAUCCCAGUGGAGGAGGGAGUAAGGUGGCAGCAUUACCUCACUGUGAUGGUUUGGGCAUGGGCAGACGUCUGCUGUAUUUUGGAAAAGUGAAGAGGGAGUAACAUGGUCCCCUGCCCAGGGUUCUCUCCUGGGAUAUUUUCUAAGCUGCAGACUGCUCUCAGAUAGGCCUUUGGUAACCUGAUAUUUGGGGCAGCUGUUGCUCUGGGACCUAGAGGACCCUACUCUGAGGUGACUGGAAAGACCCAACUUAGGUUGGUGACUGGAGAAGUUAGUAAGGUCCUUUUUUUCCCCAGCCCACUCCAUACAUGGUCUUAGGUGUGUUUUUUGUAUUCACAAAUGUUAGAUGAAAAAAUUAUUUUAGCAUCUACUGCCUCUAUCUCACAUAUGACCUGAAGUAAAAAACUUACUCUGAACCCGAGACAAAUGAACAGUUGCUGAGACUUCUCUUAGCUUCCCAGCUGUGGCCCGCACCUGGAAGAUCACCCUGGUCUUUUCAUGAUUUCUGCUGACCACUCUGGCAGGAUGGGACUGCGUCUUGGGGAAACAAUGUUGGGGCUCAACAGGACCUACCACCGCAACAUGGUGUCAGAGCGAACCCAGACCCUGCAUUGUUUAUCUGUUGCUGUGAUAGAACACCACGAGCAAAAGCACUUCAUGAAAGAAAGAACUUACUCGGACUUACUGGCUCCAGAAGCAGAGCCCAUCAAGGCCAGGGAGGCGUGGCAGCAGGCACCAAAAGCAGGAAGCUGGCAGAUCACAUCUUGAGCUGAAAACACACUGGAAGUGGGGUGAGGCUAUGAAUACUCAAGUUCUGUCCCCAGUAACACACUUCCUCCAGCAAAACUCCAUCUGCCAAAGGUUUCACAGCCUCCCUGAACAGCUACACCACCUGGGACCAUGUGUUCAAAUACAGGGGCCUGUGGGGACACAUCUCUGCUAACAACCACCACGGACCACAGCAGGACAGAGAAGCUGUGACUUGCCUGAGGCCAGGUCACUUCUUAUACCUUGGAAAGUGACAGAUUUGUGAUUCCCAUGCCCUAUCUCCUCCCUCCUGUUUUCCUUCCAUUUAUAGAUUUCCUUCAUCAUUAAGCCUCCCUUCCCCCCAUGCAUCAUGCUGAUUUUGUUGGUACUAGUUUA